GAAAGGGUUCUGAGAGGAUUGCCUUUCCUCAAUGUGGUCUCUUGCCAUACUGUGAUUGCAGGAAGAGCACAAAAUGGGGACCCUGAAGGGGCCUUCCACCAUUUCAUCCUCAUGAAGAAUGUCGGAUUGUUGCCAGACCAUGUAACCUUUAUUUCUUUAAUGGAGAAGUUAAUAUACAAUCUUUGACACCGAAAGCGAAGUUGCUAUUUUUAUGCCUCU